rnacentral:rRNA from 1 species
CCUACGGGGGGCAGCAGUGAGGAAUAUUGGUCAAUGGGCGCAAGCCUGAACCAGCCAAGUCGCGUGAGGGAUGACGGUCCUAUGGAUUGUAAACCUCUUUUGUCGGGGAGCAAGGCCCGCCACGUGUGGCGGGAAGGAGAGUACCCGAAGAAAAAGCAUCGGCUAACUCCGUGCCAGCAGCCGCGGUAAUACGGAGGAUGCGAGCGUUAUCCGGAUUUAUUGGGUUUAAAGGGUGCGUAGGCGGAAGGUUAAGUCAGCGGUCAAAUGUCGGUGCUCAACACCGGCCUGCCGUUGAAACUGGUCGUCUUGAGUGAGCGAGAAGUAUGCGGAAUGCGUGGUGUAGCGGUGAAAUGCAGAGAUAUCACGCAGAACUCCGAUUGCGAAGGCAGCAUACCGGCGCUCAACUGACGCUGAGGCACGAAAGCGUGGGGAUCGAACAGGAUUAGAUACCCUUGUAGUC